ensembl:lncRNA
GGCCUCUCACUUAUCUGAGACUAAAUUCAGUUGAAAUGGGUACUGCAGUCUAAAUUAAAUAUAUUGUUUCUCCUGCCCCUCCUCCUCAGACUUGACGCUCAUGCGAGUUGUCAGAUUGAGAAUACACAACAGGAGCUAGUGCAAGUGGCUAUGGAAGGUGACAAGUUUUAUACUGUUAGUUAAUGAGUGGAUGAGUCUGUGUUUUAGAUUUUUUCAGAUGGAUGCCAAGGCUUUUUAGGUUGCAUAGAAUCUGUGACUCUGACUCAGUUUGUUUUCUGGUUUCCAUGGCUGCAGAAUGCUGGGUUUUCCACCAACUGGCAACCCAGGCUGUCAAAAUACUAUUGGUUUAACUGGCAGUGGGCGGAGUCACACAGACCACAUCAAAAACAAACAUUCCGACACGGAACGCAUAUUUCAAAGCAGAAUAGCUGGCUGUAGUGUUGUUUUUGGAGAAACAAACUGUUGAUGCAUACAUACAGUAGAUUAUGAAGCUCACCUCGCAUGCAGUGAUGGUUUGAGUUUGGAGGCGGUGACACAGGAGUGAGGUCUGUAAUGAAGGCCACUCAUGCUGAGGAUAUGACUGUCUGCCGUGACCGACCGCCUCUCUGACCUCCCGAGAUUCAGAGGGAUUGGAAAGGCUCGCGAGGGACCCUGGAGCCGGUGGAGCGGGGAGAGAGAGAUCGCACAAGGGGAUUACAGAUGGAUGAAGAACGAGAGCUGAAAGUGAAGGAUGAUCGCUCUUUCGCUCCCUCGCUCUGCCCUCUAGUAAUCCGCUGGUCCUCUGUCAUGUUAUUAAGUUGUUAAAAGGUCAAACUUUUCAUACUUUACAUCAUACUGACCCUUCCAAUGGCCAUUUCUCACAGUCACUCGCUCUAUCUUUCUUUUUCUUUUAUACACAGACUUACAUAUGAUAGAUAGAUAGAUAGAUAGAUAGAUAGAUAGAUAGAUAGACAGACAGACAGACAGACAGACAGACAGACAGACAAUGGAAUGAUGGAUGGAUAGAUGAUAGAACAAUGGAUGCAUGGAUAGACAGACAGACAGAUAGAUAGAAGGAUGGAUGGAUGGAUAAAUAGAUAGAUGAUAGACCGAUAGAGGGAUGGAAGGACAGGCGGGUGAGCAGACAGAUGGAUAGAAAGAUGAUAGAAUGAUGGGUUAAUUGACAGACAUAUAAAUGACUGAACGAUGGAUGAAUGGAUAGAUCAGUAUAUAGAUGGCCAUAUGGACAGAUAGAUAGAUAGAUAGAUAGAUAGAUAGAUAGAUAGAUAGAUAGAUAGAUAGAUAGAUAGAUAGAUAGAAACAGUCAGUCAGUGUUCAAUGACCUUUUGUUUUAUUCUAGAGAACUGACAAGAGAUUAUUAUUAUUUUUUUAUUUUUUUAUUUUUUUUUUUACAUAUCCUUAGUUCUUAAUAUUUGUUUGUGAGAUGAAUCAAUAUUAGAAUAAUGUACUGUGAAUGUAUACACUAUGUCACAGAAUAUAUAUAUAUGUGAAUAUAUAUAUAUGUGUAUAUAUAUAUAUAUAUAUAUAUAUAUAUAUAUAUAUAUAUAUAUAUACACACACACAUUACCACUGUAAGCAAUGACCGCCAUAUAUUUAAGUUAUGUGAUAUAUUUGCAAGAGCCUGUCAUGUUUUUGAAACAUAUUUGCAUAAAGUUGUAAGCACUGCCACCUAUUUGUGUAUGCAUAAACAUGCUAAUUGUUGUUUUAACAAAUGUGUUUUGUGUUGGCUCCGGAAUGAUGGUCGCUCCAGGCUAAAGUUUGCAUUUUAAGAUAACGUCAUUAAGCAUGCUUUGUGUUUUUCGACCUCCCCGUUGUUCCAUACAGAUGACUUAAUUAAAGAGCAGCAGCGAUGUUGUUUCUGCUUUAAACCUUCAUUCGUCACAGAGUG